rnacentral:rRNA from 1 species
CCGGCGACCGGCGCACGGGUGAGUAACGCGUAUCCAACCUGCCCUUUACUAUGGGACAGCCCGUCGAAAGGCGGAUUAAUACCGUAUGUUGUCAUGUUGAUGCAUAUUUUCAUGACCAAAGGCUUCGGCCGGUAAAGGAUGGGGAUGCGUCUGAUUAGCUUGCCGGCGGGGUAACGGCCCACCGGGGCGACGAUCAGUAGGGGUUCUGAGAGGAAGGUCCCCCACAUUGGAACUGAGACACGGUCCAAACUCCUACGGAAGGCAGCAG